rnacentral:rRNA from 1 species
UACGUAGGGGGCAAGCGUUGUCCGGAAUUAUUGGGCGUAAAGAGCGCGUAGGCGGUCCGAUAAGUCGGCUGUGAAAGUCAGGGGCUCAACCCUUGAAAGCCGGCCGAUACUGUCGGACUAGAGUCCGGAAGAGGCGAGUGGAAUUCCCGGUGUAGCGGUGAAAUGCGCAGAUAUCAGGAGGAACACCGGUGGCGAAGGCGGAUCUCUGGGCCUGUUCUGACGCUGAGGCGCGAAAGCUAGGGGAGCGAACAGG